CUAUCCCUCUGAAAUCGGCAGCUAGAUCUAGUGGUGUUUGUGUUGAGAAAGGGACCUCCUCUCUCUUGUGAUAGCAAAAAAUAUUGGCAUGUUACUCGUUUGAAUUUGGUUAGAGAAUUUGGAGAGCCACUGUGUUUUUGGGGCUACUCAGCACCAUUUCAGCGGGGUCAAUGGAAUUCAGGUGGCAGCUGUGACAAAGAAACUGAAUCAAUAACGAAUGAGCAGUACCUUACACCAUACCCAACAAACUACUCUCCUAGAAUGCUGGGAAAAGGAGAAAAUAAGAAAUAGCACAUCCCACUUAAUCUUUCUAGAAGGUAUUCCAGAACAGCAAAACUGAUUCAUAUUGUAGUUAAUCCAUUGUACUGUGGGCAACAUGGGAGCACACAUAUGCUAGAAUGUUUGUUUGCACCAAUUUAUAAUUCUGUCCAAAAAGUUGGAUAUCCAACUACAAGGAGACAGGCAGCCUGAUACCGCAUUGCUAUGGUAUUUUUUACCUCUUUU